rnacentral:rRNA from 1 species
CAGUAGCCGCGGUAAUGCGAAGGGGGCUAGCGUUGUUCGGAUUUACUGGGCGUAAAGGGUGCGUAGGCGGAUUGUUAAGUCAGGGGUGUAAUCCCGAGGCUCAACCUCGGAACUGCCUUUGAUACUGGCAAUCUCGAGUCCGAGAGAGGUGAGUGGAAUUCCGAGUGUAGAGGUGAAAUUCGUAGAUAUUCGGAGGAACACCAGUGGCGAAGGCGGCUCACUGGCUCGGUACUGACGCUGAGGUGCGAAAGCGUGGGGAGCAAACAGGAUUAGAUACCCCAGUAGUCCCUGUCUCUUAUAC